rnacentral:rRNA from 1 species
AGAAGCUUGCUUCAAUUGCCGGCGACCGGCGCACGGGUGAGUAACGCGUAUCCAACCUUCCGCAUACUCGGGGAUAGCCUUCUGAAAAGGAGAUUAAUACCCGAUGGUAUCAAGAGAUUGCAUGGUAACUUGAUUAAAGAAUUUCGGUAUGCGAUGGGGAUGCGUUCCAUUAGGUAGUAGGCGGGGUAACGGCCCACCUAGCCAACGAUGGAUAGGGGUUCUGAGAGGAAGGUCCCCCACAUUGGAACUGAGACACGGUCCAAACUCCUACGGGAGGCAGCAGUGAGGAAUAUUGGUCAAUGGACGAGAGUCUGAACCAGCCAAGUAGCGUGAAGGAUGAAGGUUCUAUGGAUUGUAAACUUCUUUUAUAAGGGAAUAAAACCUCCCACGUGUGGGAGCUUGUAUGUACCUUAUGAAUAAGCAUCGGCUAACUCCGUGCCAGCAGCCGCGGUAAUACGGAGGAUGCGAGCGUUAUCCGGAUUUAUUGGGUUUAAAGGGAGCGCAGACGGGGGAUUAAGUCAGUUGUGAAAGUUUGGGGCUCAACCUUAAAAUUGCAGUUGAUACUGGUUCUCUUGAGUGCAAUUGAGGCAGGUGGAAUUCGUGGUGUAGCGGUGAAAUGCUUAGAUAUCACGAAGAACCCCGAUUGCGAAGGCAGCUUGCUAAACUGUAACUGACG